ensembl:snRNA U6 U6 spliceosomal RNA
GUGCUCGCUUCAGCAGCACAUACACCAAAAUUGGAACGAUACAGAAGAUUAGCAUGGCCAAGGAUGAUGUGCCAAUUCAUGAAGCGUUCCCUAUUAAA